GUAAUGUCUGGGAAACUGCCUGAUGGAGGGGGAUAACUACUGGAAACGGUGGCUAAUACCGCAUAACGUCGCAAGACCAAAGAGGGGGACCUUCGGGCCUCUUGCCAUCAGAUGUGCCCAGAUGGGAUUAGCUUGUUGGUGAGGUAACGGCUCACCAAGGCGACGAUCCCUAGCUGGUCUGAGAGGAUGACCAGCCACACUGGAACUGAGACACGGUCCAGACUCCUACGGGAGGCAGCAGUGGGGAAUAUUGCACAAUGGGCGCAAGCCUGAUGCAGCCAUGCCGCGUGUAUGAAGAAGGCCUUCGGGUUGUAAAGUACUUUCAGCGGGGAGGAAGGUGUUGUGGUUAAUAACCGCAGCAAUUGACGUUACCCGCAGAAGAAGCACCGGCUAACUCCGUGCCAGCAGCCGCGGUAAUACGGAGGGUGCAAGCGUUAAUCGGAAUUACUGGGCGUAAAGCGCACGCAGGCGGUCUGUCAAGUCGGAUGUGAAAUCCCCGGGCUCAACCUGGGAACUGCAUUCGAAACUGGCAGGCUUGAGUCUUGUAGAGGGGGGUAGAAUUCCAGGUGUAGCGGUGAAAUGCGUAGAGAUCUGGAGGAAUACCGGUGGCGAAGGCGGCCCCCUGGACAAAGACUGACGCUCAGGUGCGAAAGCGUGGGGAGCAAACAGGAUUAGAUACCCUGGUAGUCCACGCCGUAAACGAUGUCUACUUGGAGGUUGUGCCCUUGAGGCGUGGCUUCCGGAGCUAACGCGUUAAGUAGACCGCCUGGGGAGUACGGCCGCAAGGUUAAAACUCAAAUGAAUUGACGGGGGCCCGCACAAGCGGUGGAGCAUGUGGUUUAAUUCGAUGCAACGCGAAGAACCUUACCUGGUCUUGACAUCCACGGAAGUUUUCAGAGAUGAGAAUGUGCCUUCGGGAACCGUGAGACAGGUGCUGCAUGGCUGUCGUCAGCUCGUGUUGUGAAAUGUUGGGUUAAGUCCCGCAACGAGCGCAACCCUUAUCCUUUGUUGCCAGCGGUUAGGCCGGGAACUCAAAGGAGACUGCCAGUGAUAAACUGGAGGAAGGUGGGGAUGACGUCAAGUCAUCAUGGCCCUUACGACCAGGGCUACACACGUGCUACAAUGGCGCAUACAAAGAGAAGCGACCUCGCGAGAGCAAGCGGACCUCAUAAAGUGCGUCGUAGUCCGGAUUGGAGUCUGCAACUCGACUCCAUGAAGUCGGAAUCGCUAGUAAUCGUGGAUCAGAAUGCCACGGUGAAUACGUUCCCGGGCCUUGUACACACCGCCCGUCACACCAUGGGAGUGGGUUGCAAAAGAAGUAGGUAGCUUAACCUUCGGGAGGGCGCUUACCACUUUGUGAUUCAUGACUGGGGUGAAGUCGUAACAAGGUAACCGUAGGGGAACCUGCGGUUGGA
rnacentral:rRNA from 1 species